GGAUAAAUUAAUAUAAAUAAAUUAAAUAUAUUUACACUAUUUUGUCUACUCCAUUUCUAUUUCUACUUUUGCCUUAUUACUAUCAAUCCUAUGUAGGAACACUUUUCCUUUUGUCUUUGCAAAGCAAAGGAAAAGUAGUAUGCUCCUCUCCCUCCCUAAAGGAGGGUCCUAGGGCUAAAUAUAACUGCAAAGGUGUAUAUUAAAUAUGGAAAAACAAAAAAAGUAAAAUAACUUAUUUAUAAAUAACUAUCACUCAAUCCAGUCUUAAAUAAAAAAAAAAGAAAAAACAAUAUAAUAAAAAUAAAAAUAAUAAUACAAAUUACUAUUUAUAUAAAUAAAUACUUUCUCCUUAUUAUUUAAAUAGAGGGAUUGGCUAUGCAAGAACUGGUA
rnacentral:rRNA from 1 species